rnacentral:rRNA from 1 species
CAUAUCAAUAAGCGGAGGAAAAGAAACCAACAGGGAUUGCCCUAGUAACGGCGAGUGAAGCGGCAACAGCUCAAAUUUGAAAUCUGGCUCUUUUAGGGUCCGAGUUGUAAUUUGCAGAGGGCGCUUUGGCGUUGGCAGCGGUCCAAGUUCUUUGGAACAGGACGUCACAGAGGGUGAGAAUCCCGUACGUGGUCGCUAUCCUUCGCCGUGUAAAGCCCCUUCGACGAGUCGAGUUGUUUGGGAAUGCAGCUCUAAAUGGGAGGUAAAUUUCUUCUAAAGCUAAAUACUGGCCAGAGACCGAUAGCGCACAAGUAGAGUGAUCGAAAGAUGAAAAGCACUUUGGAAAGAGAGUCAAAUAGCACGUGAAAUUGUUGAAAGGGAAGCGCUUGCAGCCAGACUUGCCUGUAGUUGCUUAUCCGGACUUUUGUCCGGUGCACUCUUCUGCGGGCAGGCCAGCAUCAGUUUGGGCGGUUAGAUAAAGGUCUCUGUCAUGUACCUCUCUUCGGGGAGGCCUUAUAGGGGAGACGACAUGUAACCAGCCUGGACUGAGGUCCGCGCAUCUGCUAGGAUGCUGGCGUAAUGGCUGUAAGCGGCCCGUCUUGAAACACGGACCAAGGAGUCUAACAUCUAUGCGAGUGUUUGGGUGUCAAGCCCAGACGCGUAAUGAAAGUGAACGGAGGUAGGAACCCUUUGGGUGCACUAUCGACCGAUCCUGAUGUCUUCGGAAGGAUUUGAGUAAGAGCAUGGCUGUUGGGACCCGAAAGAUGGUGAACUAUGCUUGAAUAGGGUGAAGCCAGAGGAAACUCUGGUGGAGGCUCGCAGCGGUUCUGACGUGCAAAUCGAUCGUCAAAUUUGGGCAUAGGGGCGAAAGACUAAUCG